AACGGCCAUACCAUGGUGAAUAUACCGGUUCUCGUUAGAUCACCGAAGUCAAGCAUCAGUACUUGGUCAGUACUUGGGUGGGUGACCACCUGGGAACACCGCGUGCCGUAGG